rnacentral:rRNA from 1 species
CGACCGGCGCACGGGUGAGUAACACGUAUCCAACCUGCCGAUGACUCGGGGAUAGCCUUUCGAAAGAAAGAUUAAUACCCGAUGGCAUAGUUCUUCCGCAUGGUAGAACUAUUAAAGAAUUUCGGUCAUCGAUGGGGAUGCGUUCCAUUAGCUUGUUGGCGGGGUUACGGCCCACCAAGGCAUCGAUGGAUAGGGGUUCUGAGAGGAAGGUCCCCCCACAUUGGAACUGAGACACGGUCCAAACUCCUACGGAAGGCAGCAG